rnacentral:rRNA from 1 species
AUUGAACGCUGGCGGCAUGCCUUACACAUGCAAGUCGAACGGUAACGGGCCUUCGGGUGCCGACGAGUGGCGAACGGGUGAGUAAUGCAUCGGAACGUACCUUUCAGUGGGGGAUAACGUAGCGAAAGUUACGCUAAUACCGCAUAUUCUGUGAGCAGGAAAGCAGGGGAUCGCAAGACCUUGCGCCGAUUGAGCGGCCGAUGUCAGAUUAGCUAGUUGGUGAGGUAAAGGCUCACCAAGGCGACGAUCUGUAGCGGGUCUGAGAGGAUGAUCCGCCACACUGGAACUGAGACACGGUCCAGACUCCUACGGAGGCAGCAGUGGGGAAUUUUGGACAAUGGGGGCAACCUGAUCAGCCAUGCCGCGUGAGUGAAGAAGGCC